CCCCGGCCCCUCAGUGCCCCUCGGCUCGCACCCCGGGUCGGGGACGCGCGCGGAAAGGCCGCCCGCGCGCGCGAGUCGAGGCUUAUAUCGGCUGAGGGCGGCGCCUGCGCAGGGCCUGGCGCGGCGGCGCGGCCUUUGAAGUCGUGGCGGCUGCCGCUUUCAUCCUUUCUUUUUUCCCUUGCAGGCCCCUUUGUGUGACUAAAUUUGGCAAGAAUAUGGAUCCCAGCCAGUCUUUCCACGUGUGCUCCCAGCUCCCAGCUGAGAAGGCCAAGGGUUCUCUUCCGGGAAAACCAGUUUGGCUAUUAAGGGAACCUGUCGACACAGAGCAGAGCAAGAUAAGGCCAGGUUUCAGAGAGAAUAGCUGUUUACCAUCAAAGCAACUGGGUUCCACACAGACAUGGUUUAUUAUACACAAAGACGAUGACAUUCAGCAUGGUAAGGCACUAAGUGCCUAUGUUGCACCAAAGACCUGUGAAUAA
ensembl:lncRNA